CAGUAGCCGCGGUAACACGUAGGGUGCAAGCGUUAAUCGGAAUUACUGGGCGUAAAGCGUGCGCAGGCGGUUAUAUAAGACAGAUGUGAAAUCCCCGGGCUCAACCUGGGAACUGCAUUUGUGACUGUAUAGCUAGAGUACGGCAGAGGGGGAUGGAAUUCCGCGUGUAGCAGUGAAAUGCGUAGAUAUGCGGAGGAACACCGAUGGCGAAGGCAAUCCCCUGGGCCUGUACUGACGCUCAUGCACGAAAGCGUGGGGAGCAAACAGGAUUAGAUACCCCGGUAGUCCCUGUCUCUUAUAA
rnacentral:rRNA from 1 species